AAUACGUUCCCGGACCUUGCACACACCGCCCGUCAAGCCAUGGAAGCUGGGUGUACCUAAAGUCGGUAACCGCAAGGAGUCGCCUAGGGUAAAACUAGUGACUGGGGCU
rnacentral:rRNA from 1 species